rnacentral:rRNA from 1 species
AUCUCUGCGCAUUUCACCGCUACACAUGAAAUGGUGCCUAAUACAUGCAAGUCGAGCGAACGGACGAGAAGCUUGCUUCUCUGAUGUUAGCGGCGGACGGGUGAGUAACACGUGGAUAACCUACCUAUAAGACUGGGAUAACUUCGGGAAACCGGAGCUAAUACCGGAUAAUAUUUUGAACCGCAUGGUUCAAAAGUGAAAGACGGUCUUGCUGUCACUUAUAGAUGGAUCCGCGCUGCAUUAGCUAGUUGGUAAGGUAACGGCUUACCAAGGCAACGAUGCAUAGCCGACCUGAGAGGGUGAUCGGCCACACUGGAACUGAGACACGGUCCAGACUCCUACGGGAGGCAGCAGUAGGGAAUCUUCCGCAAUGGGCGAAAGCCUGACGGAGCAACGCCGCGUGAGUGAUGAAGGUCUUCGGAUCGUAAAACUCUGUUAUUAGGGAAGAACAUAUGUGUAAGUAACUGUGCACAUCUUGACGGUACCUAAUCAGAAAGCCACGGCUAACUACGUGCCAGCAGCCGCGGUAAUACGUAGGUGGCAAGCGUUAUCCGGAAUUAUUGGGCGUAAAGCGCGCGUAGGCGGUUUUUUAAGUCUGAUGUGAAAGCCCACGGCUCAACCGUGGAGGGUCAUUGGAAACUGGAAAACUUGAGUGCAGAAGAGGAAAGUGGAAUUCCAUGUGUAGCGGUGAAAUGCGCAGAGAUAUGGAGGAACACCAGUGGCGAAGGCGACUUUCUGGUCUGUAACUGACGCUGAUGUGCGAAAGCGUGGGGAUCAAACAGGAUUAGAUACCCUGGUAGUCCACGCCGUAAACGAUGAGUGCUAAGUGUUAGGGGGUUUCCGCCCCUUAGUGCUGCAGCUAACGCAUUAAGCACUCCGCCUGGGGAGUACGACCGCAAGGUUGAAACUCAAAGGAAUUGACGGGGACCCGCACAAGCGGUGGAGCAUGUGGUUUAAUUCGAAGCAAC